UACGAAGGGGGCUAGCGUUGUUCGGAUUUACUGGGCGUAAAGCGCACGUAGGCGGAUUGUUAAGUCGGGGGUGAAAUCCUGGAGCUCAACUUCAGAAUUGCCUUCGAUACUGGCUUUCUAGAGGCUGGAAGAGGUUAGUGGAAUUCCCAGUGUAGAGGUGAAAUUCGUAGAUAUUGGGAAGAACACCGAUGGCGAAGGCAGCCAUCUGGACCGGUAUUGACGCUGAGGCGCGAAAGCGUGGGGAGCAAACAGG
rnacentral:rRNA from 1 species